rnacentral:lncRNA from 1 species
AGUCUUCCACUAGCAGCCUUUGGAUGAAGACAUAGAACUCUCAGCUCCUCCUGCGCCAUGCCUGCCUGGAUACUGCCAUGCUCUCACCUUGAUGAUAAUGGACUGAACCUCUGAACCUGUAAGCCAGCCCCAAUUAAAUGUUUUUUUUUUUUUUUAUAAGACUUGCCUUGGUCAUGGUGUCUGUUCACAGCAGUAAAACCCUAACUAAGACAACAUCUCAGCACCAUAGCCUAUAAAGCAGGAAUCCGGAAAGAGGGACAAGAGGCUUCAUUUUCACAUAGCCCUCUCUUAUUAUUGAGGAUCAUAGUUUCAGAAAUUCCUAAUGGAGACUUCUGUCCUGGCCACUUUUAGGUCAACUCGACACAAGCUAUAGUCAUCUGAGAGGAGGGAACUUCAAUUGAGAAAAUGUUUCUAGAAGAUGGGGCUGUAAGCAGGCAAGCCUGUAGGGCAUUUUCUUACUUAAAGAUCAACGGAGGAGGGCCCAGCCCAUCAUCAGUUGGGACAUCCCUGGACUGCUGGUCUUGGGUUCUAUAAGAAAGCAGGCUGAGCAAGCGGGGAGGAGCAAGCCAGUGAGCAGCACCCUUCUGUGGCCUCUGCAUCAGCUCCUGCCUCCAGGUUCCUGCCCUGUUUGAGUUCCUGUCCUGACUUCCUCCUGUAAGGAACAGUGAUGUGCAUGCAUAAGCUACAUAAGUCCUUUCCUCCCCGAGUUGCUUUUGGCCAUGGUAUUUCGUCACAGCAAUAGUGACCCUGACUAAGACAGCUCCCCUUUGUAGCUUACAUGCCAGGACUUACAGUCACUGCCGAGGGGAAGGGGAAUGGCUCAUGCCAAUGAAUUGUUUCACCUUCUGGUGCUGAUUACCUAACUGUCCAGCCUUCACCAGAGCCUCUGCUUCCCAUCGGCCCGUCCCAACUGUGCUAGUUUCUGGGAUGACAGGAAUGUAAACAUUGGGCAGUGUGUCCCUCUUCAUCUUGACUAUACAUUCCUCAGGGAUUUGCUAAUUUAGCUUUUUUUUUUACAAGCUGGCCUCACACACACCUAACCCACAACCCCUUCUGGUCCACAUUGUUCGGUCAAUACCAAUCCAUGUUAAAUGGGGGAUAGAGAAAGAAAUUGGGAAAAAAUUGUUACACCGCAUGCCAAAUGUUGC